CCAGGUUCAAGCGAUUCUCCUGCUUCAGCCUCCUGAGUAGUUGGGAUUACAGAUGCCCGCCACCGCACCCAGUCACAGAUGGACUCUGAGAGAGAAAAUAGCACCCCUGUCCAAACAUCACAUGCCUGGCGGAGGAACGCAGCCUGGCCUGUGCAGCCGAAUGUUGGAGAGUGCACCUUCCUCUCUUAUUUUGUUUUAUUUCCAGGGAAAGGGAAAGGAAGACAUGCAGUCUCAUUGAAGUCCUUGGGUCACUUUACCCCUGCCCUUGGGUUGAUGGACGAUCAGAUGUCUUCCUUCUCAUGCUGGCUGAGACAUCAAACACCAGAGUGGACUUACUUGGCUCCAGUGCUGGUGAUGGGCACUUCUGGGUGAAUGGAAUCUGG
rnacentral:lncRNA from 10 species